GCCGGGCAUGGUGGCUCAUGCCUGUAAUCCCAGGACUUUGGGAGGCUGAGGUGGGUGGAUCACCUGAGGUCAGGAGUUCGAGACCAGCCUGGCCAACAUGGUGAAACCCCGUCUCUA
ensembl:misc_RNA Metazoa_SRP Metazoan signal recognition particle RNA